UUAUUUGUCAAGUGAAGUUAUUGAUGCUGAAGGUUGUGAUGUAAAGAACAGGUGGAGUCAGUCACAUCUAUAUUAGUUUUGGUCAAACACAUCUGGAGCAUCAGAGUCGGUCAGACACUGAGAGUGAAUCAUCACAUAAUCAUUCUGUUCAGAGAUCAGCACUAAGAUCGGCAGCAUGCGUUCCACAGCUGUUUUUUUGAUACUGACCGUUCUAUUUAGAUCAGCCUGGCUGUCGCCAAAGAUUGAGGUCCAAAUUUCAGAGAUAAGUGAUGAUAUGAAGCGUGAUGCUCUUCACUCCGCUGUUCUGGCUCUGAAUAUGUACUCAAGAUCAAGUUCAAUUGCUGAAUACAUCAAGAAGGAAAUGGAUAGAAAGUAUGGGGGCAACUGGCAAUGCAUUAUAUGGUGCUACGGUUACUACAUUACCUACCAAUCGAACCAUUAUAUGAAGUUCACUGUUGGGGACAAAAAAAUUGUGCUCUUCAGAUCGCCCUGAGGUUCAGCAACAGUUCAAACACAAUUUAUUUGAUCCAAAACUUAUAAAAUAUCCCCCAUCAGAUUGUGGUUCAUGUGUUACUGUCUUUUUGCUGUGAAAUCUUUACUGAUUUUUAUAAAGUAAACAUAAGAAAAACUUUUAUAUUGUUAGUCAUAUUUCAAGAUGAAGAGUUAGUUUAUUUUUGACAUCUUAGUUUAUAUUUGGCCCAACAUAAAAUUUGUAAAUACAUAGUACAAAAAACACACAAUAAACAAUAGACAAACAGCAAACACAACAUUCUGACAUCUCACAAGAGUAAAAUCCUUACUGCAGUGGGAAUAAAAGAAUGCCUGUGCCGAUUGAUUUCCAGUAGGGAUACUAUAAUUCAUACCAGAAGAAAUCAUGUUAAAUUCAUGAACAGUGGAUGAGAUGAAGAGCAGCUCUAGCGUUCUGUAAAACAACCAUCUUCACUCAUACAUUUCUUACUUGUUAUUAUUUUUCUUGAAAUGCCAUAUAUGGUCAGGUUUGAUUCUUAAGUAGUUUGAUUGGACGCUCAAGACUGAGCUGAGGCUUAGUUGUUUGACCUAAGCCUAUAAACAUGACCAUUCUUCUGAAUAAAUGUGAGAAUGCUUUCUAUCACA